UUCAUUAAAUAGUACCCGCAAAACACCAGUCUCAAUGUUAACAGUGGAGGCGACACCGGGAUGCUGGCCUUCUAGGCAGAGUUGCAAAGAAAAAGCCAUAACUCAGAAUGGCCAAUAAAAGAUUAAGAUGGGCAAAAGAACACAGACACCGGACAGAGGAAGAUUGGAAAAAAAGUGUUAUGGACAGACUAAUCUAAGUUUGAGGUGUUCGGAUCACAAAGAAGAACAUUCGUGAGACGCAGAAAAAAUGAAUAAAUGCUGGGGAAGUGCUUAAGGCCUUUUGUCAAGCAUGGUGGAGGCAAUGUGAUGGUCUGGGGGUGCUUUGGUGGUGGUAAAGUGGGAGAUUUGUACAGGGUAGAAGGGAUCUUGAAGAAGGAAGGCUAUCACUCCAUUUUGCAAUGCCAUGCCAUACCCUGUAGACGGCGCUUAAUUGGAGCCAAUUUCCUCCUACAACAGGACAAUGACCCAAAGCACAGCUCCAAACUAUGCAAGAACUAUUUAGGGAAGAAGCAGUCAGCUGAUUUUCUGUCUAUAAUGGAGUCACUGGAUCUCAACCCUAUUGAGCUGUUGUGGGAGCAGCUUGACCGUAUGGUAUGUAAGAAGUGACCAUCAAGCCAAUCCAACUUGUGGGAGGUGCUUCAGGAAUCAUGGAGUGAAAUCUCUUCAAAUCACCUCAACAAAUUGACAUCUAGAAUGCCAAAGGUCUGCAAGGCUGUAAUUUCUACAAAUGGAGGAUUCUUUAACGAAAGCAAAGUUUGAAGGACAUAAUUAUUAUUUCAAUUAAAAAUCAUUAUUUAUAACCUUGUCAACGUCUUGAUUAUAUUUCCUAUUCAUUUUGCAACUUAUUUCAUGUAUGUUUUCAAGGAAAACAAGGACAUUUCAAGGUGACCCCAAACUUUUGAAUGGUAGUGUACUUAAAUGAAAUUUCAUUUCAACUCCAUCAAUGUUGCGUCAAAAGACAGGUAUUCAUAUUCAAGGCGUUCAGAUUUAACUGAUUUCAAAGAUAAAACACCAGCAGGGGGCGAAAGAUUGUAUGCAUUGUGGAACCCAUCAUUAGCUUGUGUUUCCCUGGGGAACAUAUAUACUGGUGCACCUUUGUGAUAGCAGGUGGUGAAAUGUUUGGUGGAAAAGCAUUUCACUGGAAGUCCUUCACGGAAGAGGAGACUCUCAUCCAUACACAUUCAGCUCAUUUAGGAUUCUGGAGACUCAACCGGUUAUCAACCUAACUAACUAAAGAACUAAUUAACUAACUAACUGACUAAAGAAAUAAAAGAAGUCAGAAGAAAACUGAGUUGUCCCUUGCGUCCUACAGUCCUUAGAGGCCUUUUUCAAGUUUGGGCAAAGAGCUGCAGUGUGAACCAUACACAACUUGACAAUCAAUAAGCAGUAUAUUGGAAAGUCCGCAUAGAUAACAUUUCAAUAAAUAUUCUGUAGAAUGUGUGUUGUUGCUUCCAACCCUA